CCAGGAUGUCCGGUCUGUCCCGAUCGUCCUCUCAUCUUCACUGGAGGAUGACUCCUUGUCCUCAUCUGAACUGAGGUGUUGAAUAAAAGGGGCCCUCAGUCAGAAACUUUCCAGGUCAGAAGCGUUAUUCUAAGUAUAGAGCUCUUUAUAAACCGGGUAGUUUGCAUACUGGAUGCUGAUUGGCUAAAAACAGCAUUUAGCCGUGUGUAUGUGAGACUGUAUACGGACAUCAUGAUAUCAUUGCGCUUUUUCACCUCGAUAAAAUGGCUACAGCAACAAUAGUUCCACAUGACGAUGUAGAAAAUAAACGUUAAAAUGAAUUUGAGAGAAACCGAAACGAAUUGUGAAACAAACAAAGUGGGCACUUACCCGCUUCACUGACUGGUGCGCCGAACAAGGGAUACAUUGAGUUUGUGAAUACAACCAAAAUGGAGCUGAAAGUCAUUCUACGGGACUUUUAUGGUUAAGUGAGAAACAUGAAUGGCGAAAAAGAUGGGAUUAGCAGCUAAACUGCCGCUGUACUUGAACCGACAUAUCAAUGACCCCCUCUCAGUCUGGCAUGGAAUAUACAGGACACCGAAAUCACAACGCGCAACAAUGUGUCGUCUCUCAGCGUAAUUAAAAAGUUGAGGGAUGCGACAAAACAGUGAAUGGAUACGUAUGGUACACAUGUCAAGAGCCGAUAGGAGUGAACACCCUCGCAACAAUGCUGCCAAAAUCCUGAAAAAUAGCUGUCUCGUCACAGAUGUACACAAACUACUACCUCCGUCAUCCAUUUAUAGUAGCGUGAGGCAACAGAUAUGGAACAAAAAAAAAUCAUUUGUGCACAAUAAAUGACAACAUUCAGAUCAACGUUAAUAAAUAAUUGUCAUGUGUUAGUCAUUCUAUAAAGGGGCGCUAAUGCUCGGUUUUUGCAUACAUUUAAUGUAAGCUUGUCGUCUUAGCCUGUGGUUAUGUUGCAACCAGUUUAGCGUUGAGACUUUCGUCCGGACUACUUUUUCUGGCAGUAUGUAUUUAUUGUGAAUGUAUUUAUUAAAGCAACAUGUUCAA